rnacentral:rRNA from 1 species
CAAACGACUCUCGGCAACGGAUAUCUCGGCUCACGCAUCGAUGAAGAACGCAGCAAAAUGCGAUACUUGGUGUGAAUUGCAGAAUCCCGUGAACCAUCGAGUUUUUGAACGCAAGUUGCGCCCGAAGCCUUUCGGCCGAGGGCACGUCUGCCUGGGCGUCACAC